GGCAAUGUGGCGUAGUGGUAAUGGGUAGAGCUUGUAACCGAAAGGUUGCAGGUUCGAUUCCCCGCUGGGGCACUGCCG